rnacentral:rRNA from 1 species
UGGGGAAGUAUUGCACAAUGGAGGAAACUCUGAUGCAGCGACGCCGCGUGAGUGAAGAAGUAUUUCGGUAUGUAAAGCUCUAUCAGCAGGGAAGAAAAUGACGGUACCUGACUAAGAAGCACCGGCUAAAUACGUGCC